rnacentral:rRNA from 1 species
UUGACGGGGGCCCGCACAAGCGGUGGAGCAUGUGGUUUAAUUCGAUGAUACGCGAGGAACCUUACCUGGGCUCAAAUGUAUGUUGACGUAUUCUGAAAGGGAUACUUCUUCGGACAAUAUACAAGGUGCUGCAUGGUUGUCGUCAGCUCGUGCCGUGAGGUGUCGGGUUAAGUCCCAUAACGAGCGCAACCCCUAUCAUUAGUUGCCAUCAGGUCAAGCUGGGGACUCUAAUGAAACUGCCUACGCAAGUAGUGAGGAAGGUGGGGAUGACGUCAAAUCAGCACGGCCCUUACGUCCAGGGCUACACACGUGCUACAAUGGCCGGUACAAAGGGCAGCUACCUGGUGACAGGAUGCUAAUCUCAAAAGCCGGUCUCAGUUCGGAUCGGAGUCUGCAACCCGACUCCGUGAAGCUAGAAUCGCUAGUAAUCGCGCAUCAGCCAUGGCGCGGUGAAUACGUUCCCGGGCCUU